rnacentral:rRNA from 1 species
AUUGAACGCUGGCGGCAGGCCUAACACAUGCAAGUCGAGCGAGCGGCGGACGGGUGAGUAAUGUAUGGGGACUGCCCGAUAGAGGGGGAUCACUACUGGAAACGGUGGCUAAUACCGCAUACUAUCGGAUAACCCAUAUGGGAUUAGCUAGUAGGUGGGGUAAAGGCUCACCUAGGCGACGAUGUCUUGCUGGUCUGAGAGGAUGAUUAGCCACACUGAGACUGGGAGACGGACCAGACUCCAAGGGAGGCAGCAGUGGGGAAAAGUGCACAAUGGGCGGAAGCCUGAUGCAGCCAUGCCGCGUGUAUGAAGAAGGCCUUAGGGUUGUAAAGGACUUUCAGCGGGGAGGCGUUACCCGCAGAAGAAGCACCGGCUAACGCCGUGCCAGCAGCCGCGGUAAUAC